GUUCUUACCUGGCAGGGUAAGAACCAUGAUCAGGCAGGUGGUUUUCCCAGGGCGAGGCUCAUCUCCUGCACUCCAAGUGUGCUGACCCCUGCAAUUUCCCUGAAACACAACUGCAUAAUUUGUGGUAGUGAGGGAAUUUGCACUCUUA
rnacentral:snRNA from 1 species